GUUCCCUAUGAAAGUGUUCAAAGUACAUUUUGCUUCUUGAUAUGUGUAUGUUUAGCAGAGGUGUCAGAAAAAUUUGUUCUGUGAGUUUUUCAGAUCCCUUUCUACUGUAGUGAAAUCCUUCCGCCUUUCUUUGCCGAGACUGAGUAUGAAAUUAUUUGUCUACUCAUAACUUCUUUGGAUGUUUCCUAAAAAAAAGUUUAGGUUUAUCUAUAUAAAAAGAAAGCAGCCCGAU